AUUGAACGCUGGCGGCAGGCUUAACACAUGCAAGUCGAGCGGGGUGAUGGUGCUUGCACUAUCACUUAGCGGCGGACGGGUGAGUAAUGCUUAGGAAUCUGCCUAUUAGUGGGGGACAACAUCUCGAAAGGGAUGCUAAUACCGCAUACGUCCUACGAGAGAAAGCAGGGGAUCACUUGUGACCUUGCGCUACUAGAUGAGCCUAAGUCGGAUUAGCUAGUUGGUGGGGUAAAGGCCUACCAAGGCGACGAUCUGUAGCGGGUCUGAGAGGAUGAUCCGCCACACUGGGACUGAGACACGGCCCAGACUCCUACGGGAGGCAGCAGUGGGGAAUAUUGGACAAUGGGGGGAACCCUGAUCCAGCCAUGCCGCGUGUGUGAAGAAGGCCUUAUGGUUGUAAAGCACUUUAAGCGAGGAGGAGGCUCUUUUGGUUAAUACCCAAGAUGAGUGGACGUUACUCGCAGAAUAAGCACCGGCUAACUCUGUGCCAGCCGCCGCCGUAC
rnacentral:rRNA from 1 species